CUCCAAAAAAAUUCGUAAAAUUAUACCUUAUUUUCAACGUUCUAAAGCAGGCUCCCCCCUUAAACGCGCGCUUGCGUGCGUAGUUCUCUUCUCUCCCGCCUCGUCUUACUCGCCGGCAUGCGAUGUCACGUGAUGUCGCGUACUCUCCCAAAGGUCCCUAAACUCCCCGUAUGCACGGGAACGUAUACACGUAAUUUCACGCGGCGGCGUCAAGUUAUGUCAGGACACGCACACGUAAACAUAAACCACCGGAGAGACCGUCAUUCGUCCCAUCAUCGUCGUCUUAAAUAAUGCGGCAUUGCGCGGAAAUCCGAUAAUGACCGAUUGAUUAACUUGCCUGCGUUCGUCUAAAUUUAGAACAGUAUUACGGCAGUACUUCGCAGACUUCGGCAAGGGAAAAACUGGCGUUCGCUUGGCGCGUUAUCACGAAGCUAAGCUCGGAUAAUUUCCGGUGGAUUUUAAUGUCGGUGUCAUGGACGAGUGAAAUUAUUUUUACCGCUGGGAAAAGGAAGAUAAAAUAGCCGAAGCGCGUGAGAAAAAUGAGAGAAAUCUAGCUUUGGUACACAUUGAAGGGAAAAAGACAACUAGCCAGAGAAAAGAAAUUUGAAACCGAUUUAAAACGGCACGACGAAGUGUCUUCGGUUUGGUUACCUCUUCUUCGCGGCACGUAUAUUAGUGAAGAGGAAGAUGCAGGAGAUGAGCGGAUGAUGAUGCUGCUACACUUAUUAAAAGAAAGUGUCUACGUGGAUCUCAAGUCGUUCCGCCUAAUUUAGAAAGUUAUCUCGAUCGAAUUGUGCCCAGAUAUACAAAAAAAUAAAUAACAUUAAUGUUAAAUAAUAAUAUUAAAUAUAGUAUUAAAUUAUAAACAGGAAUCAUACAUCAAUUGAAGUUACAUCAAUAAAGAUAUGAUUCUUACACAUUUUGUCAAACAAAAUUAUAAUUCUUUGCUUGGUUUUAUAGGAUUGUAAUUCAUUGCAUUUACUUACGGGUAGGCCCCCAUAUUAAAUUCAAAUAUAACCGGAAUGCUAUCCAUUUCUUUGUAACUUGCACUUUUAGAACUUGUAAUUUGAACUUUUCUUGUCGCCAUUCAAUUCCUUGUUCACUCGCAUAGAAUGCAGAUAAGAAUUUUACACGAAUGGAGGAAACGCUUUCUCUCAGUUUUGGGACACCCUCCUCGAGUGAUGAAUCGGAACCAAUCGGAAAUACUCGAAAAGCUUUCGGAACGGCCAUUAAAUAAAAUUUUCCUUAGGGAGGACAUUUCGGAACGUAACCCAGAUUCGACAUUUUACUUAUUUCUGAAGUCCCGUAAACUUUCUAAUCGUUCCUGAUCGUUGUUGUCUUAUAUUGUUUGACACAAUUGAUAGGAAGAAAAAAGGAGAGGAGAUUGAUUAGAGCCUGAAUCCGAACAUAUAUCGGUAGAGAUCUAUUAAAAUUAUCUCAACAAGAUUGGCAAGUACACACGCCAACAUUUCGGCCUAUUUCGGAGUCUCAUCGCGACACAAAUGAAAAUGAAACAUCAGUGUAUGUAGGCUAAAGGUAACAAUCAAAUAUUGGUCACGAAUUAUUUGUUUCUCUUCUUAAGAAUUAUUAGCUGAAAGUUUGAUUUUUCAAUAAUACGUUUUUCGCAUUUUCUAAAAUUGUAUCGCGCACUCAUAAAUUUAUAGCCAAGUUCAAGCACAUAUAAUUAUAUCAUAUAUUUUUAGUAUUAUGUACUCUUGUGUGUAUGUGUGUAUACGUAUGUGUACGUGUUGUGCGUGCGUGCGUGCGUGCAUACGCAACUCGCACUACGUAAAGAUAAAAUCAUAGAUAUAUUGUGUAUUGUAAAUAUAUAUUUUAUACAUAGCAAAUAUUUUACAAAAAUUAAUUUUUUAAUUUUUAUAAGACUUUUUAUAAGAAGUGAUUUGGAAAAAUAAUUAUCUAUUGAAAAUAGAUACACCUUGAAUGCAUAAUUACAUGGAGAAAAAUAUCACGUUAUAUUUUAAUCAAUAUAAUUCAUAUUUCAUAUAUACUUCAUACAUAAUUAGGCAAUAAUUGAAGUUCAAGUUCUAAUUAAAUUUUCAAUUAAUUAAAUCUAAUUUGGACUUAAUCUUUGUUGAAAGCAAUUUAAUGUGCCCCAAGUAA